rnacentral:Y_RNA from 1 species
ACGGCGAAUGCCGGCGGAACUACAGUUAAUCAUAUUGUCGCGGGUUCAAAUCCCGUCAUCGCGCCCGCGCGAUGUAGCUCAGUCUGGUAGAGCCUAUGACACGUUUCGCCACCUCCUUGUCGCCGUGAC